GACGGAGGAUGCAAGUGUUAUCCGGAAUCACUGGGCGUAAAGCGUCUGUAGGUGGUUUAAUAAGUCAACUGUUAAAUCUUGAGGCUCAACCUCAAAAUCGCAGUCGAAACUAUUAGGCUAGAGUAUAGUAGGGGUAAAGGGAAUUUCCAGUGGAGCGGUGAAAUGCGUAGAGAUUGGAAAGAACACCGAUGGCGAAGGCGGGUCUCUGGGCCGAUACUGACGCUGAGGAGCGAAAGCGUGGGAGCGAACAGG
rnacentral:rRNA from 1 species